UACGUAGGGCGCAAGCGUUGUCCGGAAUUAUUGGGCGUAAAGAGCUCGUAGGUGGCUUGUUGCGUCUGCCGUGAAAGCCCGUGGCUUAACUACGGGUCUGCGGUGGAUACGGGCAGGCUAGAGGCUGGUAGGGGCAAGCGGAAUUCCUGGUGUAGCGGUGGAAUGCGUAGAGAUCGGGAAGAACACCCGUGGCGAAGGCGGCCGGCUGGGCCGGAUCCGACGCUGAGGCGCGAAAGCGUGGGGAGCAAACAGG
rnacentral:rRNA from 1 species